UCCUGGCUCAGGACGAACGCUGGCGGCGUGCCUAACACAUGCAAGUCGAACGGACGAGGGGAGCUUGCUCCCCAAGUUAGUGGCGGACGGGUGAGUAACACGUGAGCAACCUGCCCUUCGGAGGGGGACAACAGCGGGAAACUGCUGCUAAUACCGCAUAACGUAUUUGGAAGGCAUCUUCCGGAUACCAAAGAUUUUAUCGCCGAAGGAUGGGCUCGCGUCUGAUUAGAUAGUUGGCGGGGUAACCGGCCCCACCAAGUCGACGAUCAGUAGCCGGACUGAGAGGUUGAACGGCCACAGUUGGGACUGAGAUACCGGCCCAGACUCCGUACGGGAGGCAGCAGGUGGGGAAUUAGUUGGGCAAGUGGGGGCAAACCCCCUGACCCCAGCAACGCCGCGUGGAGGAAGAAGGCUUUCGGGUUGUAAACUCCUUUGACGAGGGACGAUAGUGACGGUACCUCGAAAACAAGCCACGGCUAACUACGUGCCAGCAGCUGC
rnacentral:rRNA from 1 species